rnacentral:rRNA from 1 species
UACGGGGGGGGGUAAGCGUUGUUCGGAAUUACUGGGCGUAAAGGGCUCGUAGGCGGCCAACUAAGUCAUACGUGAAAUCCCUCAGCUUAACUGGGGAACUGCGUGUGAUACUGGGUGGCUUGGAUUUGGGAGAGGGAUGCGGAAUUCCAGGUGUAGCGGUGAAAUGCGCAGAUAUCAGGAGGAACACCGGUGGCGAAGGCGGUUCUCUGGGCAUUACCUGACGCUGAGGAGCGAAAGUGUGGGGAGCGAACAGG